AUUGAACGCUGGCGGCAUGCCUUACACAUGCAAGUCGAACGGCAGCACGGGUGCUUGCACCUGGUGGCGAGUGGCGAACGGGUGAGUAAUACAUCGGAACAUGUCCUGUAGUGGGGGAUAGCCCGGCGAAAGCCGGAUUAAUACCGCAUACGAUCUACGGAUGAAAGCGGGGGACCUUCGGGCCUCGCGCUAUAGGGUUGGCCGAUGGCUGAUUAGCUAGUUGGUGGGGUAAAGGCCUACCAAGGCGACGAUCAGUAGCUGGUCUGAGAGGACGACCAGCCACACUGGGACUGAGACACGGCCCAGACUCCUACGGGAGGCAGCAGUGGGGAAUUUUGGACAAUGGGCGAAAGCCUGAUCCAGCAAUGCCGCGUGUGUGAAGAAGGCCUUCGGGUUGUAAAGCACUUUUGUCCGGAAAGAAAACCUUGGCCCUAAUACGGUCGGGGGAUGACGGUACCGGAAGAAUAAGCACCAGCUAACUACGUG
rnacentral:rRNA from 1 species